rnacentral:lncRNA from 1 species
UUCUUCCUGCCUUCUCUCAAAGGCACAACCCAAUUUUCUUUAAAGUUAUUCACCCCUAAAUUCUACAAAGCCCUGCCUCAUUUUAAGUAUGGUAGCCCCUGACUACUGAUACCCUGUCCAAGUGACGUAGGGCCCCGUAACGUAUGUCAAGGCUUUGCCUAAAUUCGUUGGGGUUCUGUCUCGUGACGUAGGGAUAAAGUAGAAUUGGGUUACUAUACUUGAUGUGGGUACACUAUAUAUUUUAUUAAAUAAUCCAGGAGUUGUACCCAAAAUAUAACAAACCUCCCGAAUAUUUUUCUGACACCCUACACUUCCUAAAAUACACCACAUAUGUGAAAACCGAGCCCGAAAUAUAAUAUAGCAUUAAAAAUAAGUGAAAAACAAGAAAUAGUAAGUUGAGGCGGGCCGCGUAGACCCACCCCAACCAUUCACGCGGGCCGUAUGAAGGUGUAACCGGAUUCCUUUGAUUUCUUAAGUCCAGGCGGGCCGCGUAAGGCCACACCGUUAGUUUACGCGGGCCGCGAGUGUCCCGAUUCGUGGCGCAGCCCGGUGAUGACACGUGUCAUCAUCGUGGCAGGUCUAGAGGAUGAGCCGGACAAGCUAGUCCGUUGACCAGGGUUGACGCGGGCCGCGUGACCCCUGUCCUUUCUUUACGCGGGCCGCGUGGGAACCAGAAUCAGCACCUAUAUAAGCAGGCAUCGGGUUUUAGUAUUCCUCGUUCAUUUCUUUUCUUUCUAAACGAAUUCUGAAGUAGUAGAAGUGAUACGCGGGUAUUAUACCCCCUAAUUAGCGAAGCUCUGCCUCGUUACUAUAACCAAGGAAUCACAAAGGAAAGCCUUAUAAUAGCAAUGUGAGUGAUCCUUCUUUUUAUAUACUCAUUUUUGUGAGUUGAUCCACUUUUUGUUAACUAUUUUUACAAAACCUUGCAUACUUGUCUAUGCAAAUAACAGUUAUUGAGUAUUUGUAAGAAUACAAUUAUCACGGGUAUGUUGGGGUUUUGUAUACAAAAUUGUUACAACCUGGAUAGGAAACCUGGAUAUGGAGUAACAUUACCACAAGUCGGGUAUCGACAGUACCACGGGUGAUAAUUGAUAUAACUUGGAAACAAAUGUAAUUGCGGGAUCGCCCUCAAUACUGUUCACUGUGACUUUUUAUUUAAACUUGAUUAAACUGGGAUUCACUCACCAGUAUUUCCUGCUGAUAAAAUGUUUUAAACACGUGUUUCAGGUAACUUAGUGUAAAGCCAAUAGAAGCCAGCUGGAGAGCACUGAAGGCUUGGAAAAGUGGCAAUAAAGUUACCUAAAAUAAAAUAGAUGUUUUUAUUAAAUAAAAUAGGAUUUAUUCCUAUGAAAAUGUAUGUACUGAAAAACUUGGGUUUUAUCCCAUGUGUUUAAUAUAAUGAAAAGAAGGUGGUUUUACUCUGAUAAAAUAUUUCCUAACUACGGUCCUGAUGAAAAAUUCCGCUGCCAAAUAGACAAUACGCGAUACCACCGAAACUGGCUCACGGCCGCCCGCUCCUGAGGGAUCGGGGGUUGUGAAAGAAGGUGGUAUCAGAGCUAUGCCACUGGUUCAAGCCAAAGAAGUGUUCUGCUGACACUUAAGUUUUAAAUUCUGUGUUAGGAAAUUAAUAUAACAAUUUAUGUGUUAUUCUGUAGUAUAAGUAACCAAUAUGACUAGACGUACCCAUAGGCUACCUCGGCAGAUGUAUUAUACAACACUCUUAUACAAUUAGUAACUUAAGGUAUCACCUUGAGUGAGAUCUCUUCUUA